AGCUAAUAGAUACCCCGGUAGUCCUGGCCGUAAACGAUGGGUACUAGGUAGGGGGGUGCCAAACGCCUCUCUGCUGGAGCGAAAUGUAUUAAGUACCCCGCCUGGGAAGUACAGUCGCAAGGCUGAAACUCAAAGGAAUUGACGGGGGCUCACACAAGCGGUGGAGCAUGUUGUUUAAAUUCGAAGCAACGCGCAGAACCUUACCUGGGCUUGACAUGCUGGUGGUAGAAGCCUGAAAGGGUAACGACCCCCUCUGGGGGAGCCAGCACAGGUGUUGCAUGACUGUCGUCAGCUCGUGUCGUGAGAUGUCGGGUUAAGUCCCAUAACGAGCGAAACCCCUGUCCCUAGUUACUACCGGGUAAAGCCGAGGACUCUAGGGAGACUGCCGGUGUUAAACCGGAGGAAGUGGGGAUGACGUCAAGUCCUCAUGGCCCUUACGCCCAGGGCUACAAACGUGCCACAAUGGCGGGUACAGAGUGAAGCGAAACCGAGAGGUCGAGCAAAUCACAAAAAGCCCGUCCCAGUUCGGAUUGAAGGCUGCAAUUCGCCUUCAUGAAG
rnacentral:rRNA from 1 species